ACACAUGCAGUCGAGCGGUAGAGAAGAAGCUUGCUUCUUCUUGAGAGCGGCGGACGGGUGAGUAAUGCCUAGGAAUCUGCCUGGUAGUGGGGGACAACGUUUCGAAAGGAACGCUAAUACCGCAUACGUCCUACGGGAGAAAGUGGGGGAUCUUCGGACCUCACGCUAUCAGAUGAGCCUAGGUCGGAUUAGCUUGUAGGUGAGGUAAUGGCUCACCUAGGCAACGAUCCGUAACUGGUCUGAGAGGAUGAUCAGUCACACUGGAACUGAGACACGGUCCAGACUCCUACGGGAGGCAGCAGUGGGGAAUAUUGGACAAUGGGCGAAAGCCUGAUCCAGCCAUGCCGCGUGUGUGAAGAAGGUCUUCGGAUUGUAAAGCACUUUAAGUUGGGAGGAAGGGUUGUAGCUUAAUACGCUGCAACUUUGACGUUACCAACAGAAUAAGCACCGGCUAACUCUGUGCCAGCAGCCGCGGUAAUACAGAGGGUGCAAGCGUUAAUCGGAAUUACUGGGCGUAAAGCGCGCGUAGGCGGCUUGAUAAGAUGGGUGUGAAAUCCCCGGGCUUAACCUGGGAACUGCAUCCAUAACUGUCUGGCUAGAGUACAGUAGAGGGUGGUGGAAUUUCCUGUGUAGCGGUGAAAUGCGUAGAUAUAGGAAGGAACACCAGUGGCGAAAGCGACCACCUUGUACUGAUACUGACGCUGAGGUGCGAAAGCGUGGGGAGCAAAUAGGAUUA
rnacentral:rRNA from 1 species